rnacentral:rRNA from 1 species
AAACUUUCAACAACGGAUCUCUUGGCUCUGGCAUCGAUGAAGAACGCAGCGAAAUGCGAUAAGUAAUGUGAAUUGCAGAAUUCAGUGAAUCAUCGAAUCUUUGAACGCACAUUGCGCCCGCCAGUAUUCUGGCGGGCAUGCCUGUUCGAGCGUC